rnacentral:tRNA from 1 species
GCUCCCAUGGCGUAGUGGUCACUGCGCUCGCCUUGCAGGCCGGAGACCCGGGUUCGAUUCCCGGCGGGGUCA